rnacentral:misc_RNA from 1 species
AAUUCUCAACCUCACCAGUUUUCUGAACUGCGUCGAGGCUUGGAUGUGGGGGUUUGUGCAGGCUGCCUCAGCGCGGUCUGCUCCCCUGAAAUGCAUUAGCGAGGUUCAUACUGAGCUUCCGUCUAUUGGUGUGAUAAUUAUCUACGCCGUGGACAGGGUUCAGACUCGCUUCUAACCGUCCCUCGGGACAAUACCCAUGACA